GACGAACGCUGGCGGCGUGCCUAAUACAUGCAAGUUGAGCGAUGAAGCUUGGUGCUUGCACCAAUUUGAAGAGCAGCGAACGGGUGAGUAACGCGUGGGGAAUCUGCCUUUGAGCGGGGGACAACAUUUGGAAACGAAUGCUAAUACCGCAUAACAACUUUAAACAUAAGUUUUAAGUUUGAAAGAUGCAAUUGCAUCACUCAAAGAUGAUCCCGCGUUGUAUUAGCUAGUUGGUGAGGUAAAGGCUCACCAAGGCGAUGAUACAUAGCCGACCUGAGAGGGUGAUCAGCCACAUUGGGACUGAGACACGGCCCAAACUCCUACGGGAGGCAGCAGUAGGGAAUCUUCGGCAAUGGACGAAAGUCUGACCGAGCAACGCCGCGUGAGUGAAGAAGGGUUUCGGAUCGUAAAACUCUGUUGGUAGAGAAGAACGUUGGUGAGAGUGGAAAGCUCAUCAAGUGACGGUAACUACCCAGAAAGGGACGGCUAACUACGUG
rnacentral:rRNA from 1 species